CCUACGGGAGGCAGCAGUGAGGAAUAUUGGUCAAUGGUCGGGAGACUGAACCAGCCAAGCCGCGUGAGGGAUGAAGGUACAGAGUAUCGUAAACCUCUUUUGUCAGGGAACAAAGGCGGGGACGCGUCCCCGGAUGAGUGUACCUGAAGAAAAAGCAUCGGCUAACUCCGUGCCAGCAGCCGCGGUAAUACGGAGGAUGCGAGCGUUAUCCGGAUUUAUUGGGUUUAAAGGGUGCGCAGGCGGUCUGUUAAGUCAGCGGUAAAAGCCCGGGGCUCAACCCCGGCCCGCCGUUGAAACUGGCAGUCUCGAGUGGGAGAGAAGUAUGCGGAAUGCGCGGUGUAGCGGUGAAAUGCAUAGAUAUCGCGCAGAACUCCGAUUGCGAAGGCAGCAUGCCGGCUCCACACCGACGCUGAGGCACGAAAGCGUGGGUAUCGAACAGGAUUAGAUACCCUUGUAGUC
rnacentral:rRNA from 1 species